GGGGCUGUAGGGUAGUUUGGUCUAGCCUUCAAGCUCGGGGAGUUUGCGACCCCGGUUCAAAUCCGGGCAGCCCCA
rnacentral:tRNA from 1 species